GAUGAACGCUGGCGGCGUGCCUAAUACAUGCAAGUCGAGCGAACGGACGAGAAGCUUGCUUCUCUGAUGUUAGCGGCGGACGGGUGAGUAACACGUGGAUAACCUACCUAUAAGACUGGGAUAACUUCGGGAAACCGGAGCUAAUACCGGAUAAUAUUUUGAACCGCAUGGUUCAAAAGUGAAAGACGGUCUUGCUGUCACUUAUAGAUGGAUCCGCGCUGCAUUAGCUAGUUGGUAAGGUAACGGCUUACCAAGGCAACGAUGCAUAGCCGACCUGAGAGGGUGAUCGGCCACACUGGAACUGAGACACGGUCCAGACUCCUACGGGAGGCAGCAGUAGGGAAUCUUCCGCAAUGGGCGAAAGCCUGACGGAGCAACGCCGCGUGAGUGAUGAAGGUCUUCGGAUCGUAAAACUCUGUUAUUAGGGAAGAACAUAUGUGUAAGUAACUGUGCACAUCUUGACGGUACCUAAUCAGAAAGCCACGGCUAACUACGUGCCAGCAGCCGCGGUAAUACGUAGGUGGCAAGCGUUAUCCGGAAUUAUUGGGCGUAAAGCGCGCGUAGGCGGUUUUUUAGUCUGAUGUGAAAGCCCACGGCUCAACCGUGGAGGGUCAUUGGAAACUGGAAAACUUGAGUGCAGAAGAGGAAAGUGGAAUUCCAUGUGUAGCGGUGAAAUGCGCAGAGAUAUGGAGGAACACCAGUGGCGAAGGCGACUUUCUGGUCUGUAACUGACGCUGAUGUGCGAAAGCGUGGGGAUCAAACAGGAUUAGAUACCCUGGUAGUCCACGCCGUAAACGAUGAGUGCUAAGUGUUAGGGGGUUUCCGCCCCUUAGUGCUGCAGCUAACGCAUUAAGCACUCCGCCUGGGGAGUACGACCGCAAGGUUGAAACUCAAAGGAAUUGACGGGGACCCGCACAAGCGGUGGAGCAUGUGGUUUAAUUCGAAGCAACGCGAAGAACCUUACCAAAUCUUGACAUCCUUUGACAACUCUAGAGAUAGAGCCUUCCCCUUCGGGGGACAAAGUGGCAGGUGGUGCAUGGUUGUCGUCAGCUCGUGUCGUGAGAUGUUGGGUUAAGUCCCGCAACGAGCGCAACCCUUAAGCUUAGUUGCCAUCAUUAAGUUGGGCACUCUAAGUUGACUGCCGGUGACAAACCGGAGGAAGGUGGGGAUGACGUCAAAUCAUCAUGCCCCUUAUGAUUUGGGCUACACACGUGCUACAAUGGACAAUACAAAGGGCAGCGAAACCGCGAGGUCAAGCAAAUCCCAUAAAGUUGUUCUCAGUUCGGAUUGUAGUCUGCAACUCGACUACAUGAAGCUGGAAUCGCUAGUAAUCGUAGAUCAGCAUGCUACGGUGAAUACGUUCCCGGGUCU
rnacentral:rRNA from 1 species